GGGCUGCAGUGGGGAAUUUUGGACAAUGGGCGAAAGCCUGAUCCAGCCAUUCCGCGUGAGUGAAGAAGGCCUUCGGGUUGUAAAGCUCUUUCGCAAGGGAAGAAAACUUAUCCUCUAACAUAGGGUGAGGUUGACGGUACCUUGAUAAGAAGCACCGGCUAACUACGUGCCAGCAGCCGCGGUAAUACGUAGGGUGCGAGCGUUAAUCGGAAUUACUGGGCGUAAAGCGUGCGCAGGCGGUUUGAAAAGUCAGAUGUGAAAUCCCCGGGCUCAACCUGGGAACUGCGUUUGAAACUCUCAAGCUAGAGUAUAGGAGAGGGGGGUAGAAUUCCACGUGUAGCAGUGAAAUGCGUAGAGAUGUGGAGGAAUACCAAUGGCGAAGGCAGCCCCCUGGCCUAAUACUGACGCUCAUGCACGAAAGCGUGGGGAGCAAACAGGAUUAGAUACCCUAGUAGUC
rnacentral:rRNA from 1 species